rnacentral:rRNA from 1 species
CGGGUGAGUAACGCGUAAAUAAUCUACCCUGGUGUUUGGGAUAACCAGCCGAAAGGCUGACUAAUACCGGAUAUCUGUGAGGUUGUUGGACCUUACAUGAAAGGUGGCCUCUUCUUGAAAGCUAUCGCAUUGGGAUGAGUUUGCGUACCAUUAGCUAGUUGGUGGGGUAAAGGCCUACCAAGGCAACGAUGGUUAGCGGGUCUGAGAGGAUGAUCCCGUCACACUGGCACUGGAACACGGGCCAG